GCCCGGAUAGCUCAGUCGGUAGAGCGUUAGGCUUUUAACCUAACGNCCAGGGUUCGAGUCCCUGUUCGGGCG
rnacentral:tRNA from 1 species